rnacentral:rRNA from 1 species
GACGAACCGAGCAAUCGUUAUUCGGAAUCACUGGGCUUAAAGGGCGCGUAGGCGGGCAUCCAAGUCUGUGGUGAAAUCCGGCAGCUCAACUGUCGAACUGCCGUGGAUACUGGGUGUCUCGAGGGAGGUAGGGGCGUGCGGAACUAUUGGUGGAGCGGUGAAAUGCGUUGAUAUCAAUAGGAACUCCGGUGGCGAAGGCGGCACGCUGGACCUCUUCUGACGCUGAGGCGCGAAAGCCAGGGGAGCAAACGGG